rnacentral:rRNA from 1 species
GUCGAGAAUCUUUCACAAUGGGGGCAACCCUGAUGGAGCGACGCCGCGUGGAGGAUAAGGUCUUCGGAUUGUAAACUCCUGUCAUGCGUGAACAAGGUUGCUUGGUUAAUACCUGGGCAAAUUGAUGGUAACGCAAGAGGAAGAGACGGCUAACUCUGUGCCAGCAGCCGCGGUAAUACAGAGGUCUCAAGCGUUGUUCGGAAUCACUGGGCGUAAAGGGUGCGUAGGUGGCGUGGUAAGUCAGAUGUGAAAGCCCGGGGCUCAACCGCGGAACUGCAUCCGAUACUGCCAUGCUAGAGUACUGGAGAGGUGACUAGAAUUCUCGGUGUAGCAGUGAAAUGCGUAGAUAUCGAGAGGAAUACCAAAGGCGUAGGCAGGUCACUGGACAGUUACUGACACUGAGGCACGAAGGCCAGGGGAGCGAACGGGAUUAGAAACCCCUGUAGUCC